GGGAGAGAGCCCCGAGAAAUCGGGAUUAAUACCCCAUAACAUUACGAAUUGGCAUCAAUUNGUGAUUAAAGCUCCGGCGGUUAGAGAUGGGCAUGCGUGACAUUAGCUGGUUGGUGAGGUAACGGCUCACCAAGGCAACGAUGUCUAGGGGUCCUGAGAGGGUUAUCCCCCACACUGGUACUGAGACACGGACCAGACUCCUACGGGAGGCAGCAGUAAGGAAUAUUGGUCAAUGGGCGCAGGCCUGAACCAUCCAUGCCGCGUGCAGGAAGACGGCCCUAUGGGUUGUAAACUGCUUUUAUCAGGGAAUAAACCCCCGCUC
rnacentral:rRNA from 1 species